GACGAACGCUGGCGGCGUGCCUAAUACAUGCAAGUUGAGCGAUGAAGAUUGGUGCUUGCACCAAUUUGAAGAGCAGCGAACGGGUGAGUAACGCGUGGGGAAUCUGCCUUUGAGCGGGGGACAACAUUUGGAAACGAAUGCUAAUACCGCAUAAUAACUUUAAACAUAAGUUUUAAGUUUGAAAGAUGCAAUUGCAUCACUCAAAGAUGAUCCCGCGUUGUAUUAGCUAGUUGGUGAGGUAAAGGCUCACCAAGGCGAUGAUACAUAGCCGACCUGAGAGGGUGAUCGGCCACAUUGGGACUGAGACACGGCCCAAACUCCUACGGGAGGCAGCAGUAGGGAAUCUUCGGCAAGGGACGAAAGUCUGACCGAGCAACGCCGCGUGAGUGAAGAAGGUUUUCGGAUCGUAAAACUCUGUUGGUAGAGAAGAACGUUGGUGAGAGUGGAAAGCUCAUCAAGUGACGGUAACUACCCAGAAAGGGACGGCUAACUACGUG
rnacentral:rRNA from 1 species